rnacentral:rRNA from 1 species
UACGUAGGCAGCGAGCGUUGUUCGGAGUUACUGGGCGUAAAGAGCGUGUAGGCGGCCAAGCAGGUCCGUUGUGAAAACUGGAGGCUUAACCUCCAGACGUCGACGGAAACCGCGUGGCUAGAGUCCGGAAGAGGAGAGUGGAAUUCCUGGUGUAGCGGUGAAAUGCGCAGAUAUCAGGAAGAACACCAAUGGCGAAGGCAGCUCUCUGGGACGGUACUGACGCUGAGACGCGAAAGCGUGGGGAGCGAACAGG